rnacentral:tRNA from 1 species
GCGUCCUUAGCUCAGCGGGUUAGAGCACCACCUUGACAUGGUGGGGGUCGGUGGUUCGAAUCCACUAGGACGCACCA